rnacentral:rRNA from 1 species
GAUGAACGCUGGCGGCGUGCCUAAUACAUGCAAGUCGAGCGAACAGAUAAGGAGCUUGCUCCUUUGACGUUAGCGGCGGACGGGUGAGUAACACGUGGGUAACCUACCUAUAAGACUGGGAUAACUUCGGGAAACCGGAGCUAAUACCGGAUAACAUUUGGAACCGCAUGGUUCUAAAGUGAAAGAUGGUUUUGCUAUCACUUAUAGAUGGACCCGCGCCGUAUUAGCUAGUUGGUAAGGUAACGGCUUACCAAGGCAACGAUACGUAGCCGACCUGAGAGGGUGAUCGGCCACACUGGAACUGAGACACGGUCCAGACUCCUACGGGAGGCAGCAGUAGGGAAUCUUCCGCAAUGGGCGAAAGCCUGACGGAGCAACGCCGCGUGAGUGGUGAAGGGUUUCGGCUCGUAAAACUCUGUUAUUAGGGAAGAACAAACGUGUAAGUAACUGUGCACGUCUUGACGGUACCUAAUCAGAAAGCCACGGCUAACUACGUG